rnacentral:rRNA from 1 species
AGCUGACGAGUCCUUAACUGACGCUAAAGCUCGAAAGUGCGGGUAUCGAACAGGAUUAGAUACCCUGGUAGUCCGCACGGUAAACGAUGGAUGCCCGCUGUUGGCGAUACAAUGUCAGCGGCCCAAGCGAAAGCGUUAAGCAUCCCACCUGGGGAGUACGCCCGGCAACGGUGAAACUCAAAGGAAUUGACGGGGGCCCGCACAAGCGGAGGAAACAUGUGGUUUAAUUCGAUGAUACGCGAGGAACCUUACCCGGGCUUGAACUGCAGCUGAACGAUUCAGAGAUGAUGAGGUCCUUCGGGACAGCUGUGGAGGUGCUGCAUGGUUGUCGUCAGCUCGUGCCGUGAGGUGUCGGCUUAAGUGCCAUAACGAGCGCAACCCUUUUCUCUAGUUGCCAUCAGGUUAUGCUGGGCACUCUGGAGACACUGCCACCGUAAGGUGUGAGGAAGGUGGGGAUGACGUCAAAUCAGCACGGCCUGACGGGCGGGGUGGCAAGGCCUUGACAAGGGUUGGUACAGAGAGUGGGUAGUCGGCAAAUGCGAUCUAAUCCUUAAAGCCAUCCUCAGUUCGGAUUCGCGUCUGCAACCCGACACCGCGAAG